AGAGACUUCGAUAGACACCGUUACCCACACCUGGGGAACCUACUCAUCUCCCAUUGCAACAUAGGAGGCAGUGCUGCUAAAAGGGGAGGGGCAUGAAGACUCCAGGUGGCGAGGUAUGCCUGCUUUUUCAACGUAUGAACGCAUUUCAAGAUACUCACCAUGGUCGCCUGGUUUCAGAGUCGCUGUAGCCUCUGACAGUCACAGAUUCUUCCUGCACGUACCGAUUCCAGGAGGACCCAGGAAACCCUUCCUCGUCAGGGCCGUGCAACGGCGUCGCAAGAGCUGGGAGCCCCUGGCCCCGGCCACCAAUGGCCAGAAACCUUACAUAUGUACAUACCCCUCCUGGGACGCCCUGGCUGCUCACUGAGCUGUGAGAAGUAU